rnacentral:rRNA from 1 species
AUGAACGCUGGCGGCGUGCCUCAUACCUGCAAGUCGAGCGAACAGACGAGGAGCUUGCUCCUCUGACGUUAGCGGCGGACGGGUGAGUAACACGUGGAUAACCUACCUAUAAGACUGGGAUAACUUCGGGAAACCGGCGCUAAUACCGGAUAAUAUAUUGAACCGCAUGGAUCCAUAGUGAAAGACGGUUUUGCUGUCACUUAUAGAUGGAUCCGCGCCGCAUUAGCUAGUUGGUAAGGUAACGGCUUACCAAGGCAACGAUGCGUAGCCGACCUGAGAGGGUGAUCGGCCACACUGGAACUGAGACACGGUCCAGACUCCUACGGGAGGCAGCAGUAGGGAAUCUUCCGCAAUGGGCGAAAGCCUGACGGAGCAACGCCGCGUGAGUGAUGAAGGUCUUCGGAUCGUAAAACUCUGUUAUUAGGGAAGAACAAAUGUGUAAGUAACUAUGCACGUCUUGACGGUACCUAAUCAGAAAGCCACGGCUAACUACGUG